AAUAGAUACCCGGGUAGUCCACGCCGUAAACGAUGAGUGCUAAGUGUUAGAGGGUUUCCGCCCUUUAGUGCUGCAGCUAACGCAUUAAGCACUCCGCCUGGGGAGUACGGUCGCAAGACUGAAACUACAAAGGAAUUGACGGGGGCCCGCACAAGCGGUGGAGCAUGUGGUUUUAAUUCGAAGCAACGCGAAGAACCUUACCAGGUCUUGACAUCCUCUGACAACUCUAGAGAUAGAGCGUUCCCCUUCGGGGGACAGAGUGACAGGUGGUGCAUGGUUGUCGUCAGCUCGUGUCGUGAGAUGUUGGGUUAAGUCCCGCAACGAGCGCAACCCUUGAUCUUAGUUGCCAGCAUUUUAGUUGGGCACUCUAAGGUGACUGCCGGUGACAAACCGGAGGAAGGUGGGGAUGACGUCAAAUCAUCAUGCCCCUUAUGACCUGGGCUACACACGUGCUACAAUGGAUGGUACAAAGGGCUGCAAGCCGCGAGGUCAAGCCAAUCCCAUAAAACCNUUCUCAGUUCGGAUUGUGG
rnacentral:rRNA from 1 species